GUUUUAUUCGUACUGUUUUAAAUCAUUCAGUAAAUGCAAAGUUAAACUGAUGUGUUUUUAAUCUAGAUUUAAAAGUGUCUACUGUUGAAACACAUCUGAUCUCUUCUGAAAACUGAUUCCAGCUAAAGAGUGAAAUGCACACGGUGAGGAAUGGACCCAGACCUUCAGUGCCAGACCUCUGACCCGUUAACCUCCAUCUCGACAGCCAGCGCCUUCUCCGGCUCCCAUUGCGGUAUCGCUUCUCUGCUUUUUGGAUAAGAUCAAGUGGACACCGGGGACUACAAGUUUAAAUGGAUUUUUGACCUUCGGAAAUGGAAGCGAGGCUUGCUCCGUCCACUCCAUGCAUCGACUCGGACGCUUUCCGGGCACAAAUAAGUUUGCGGAGGUGAUACCAGGACGAAUUAAACAGCCUCGACACAGCUGAAGGUGCAACAAAAUCGAACGAGACAGUUUGGGAUGUUAAAAACACCUGAAAACUUUUUUUUUCACUACCCUUCAUACUACAGCUGUCAAAAAACCACAGCAACGUCGACACGCCUGGAAGCAUAGCUGUAUUUGUUUAAGACAACGGGUCAAUUAUGACUGAAGAAGAGGUCACCAAAUGAAGACCACAGCCAGGUGACGGGAUUCUGUGGUAAUCACAAACAG